CCCUUUUUUUUAUUUUAGUCUAAUUUUGGUUUAACACAAACGCACGACGGCGCCAGGCAGAGAAAGGGGAAGAAGAGAUUGACGCUAGCCUAUGCGACGCCGCCUCCGUCUGACCUGUCACCAGUGGAGACCCAAGCCGUAGCCACCACCGGCGAUAGCCAAGCCUUAGUCACCACCGGCGAUAGCCCAAGCCUUAGUCACCGCCGGCGAAAGCCAGUGAGUCGUGUCUCUUCUUCCCUUGCACAACCAUUGACCCGCCUCCCUCCUCCCAUCUCAGGAGUUGAAUGAACCUGUGCUUUCAUUCCGUAAGUCUUCUGUCUUCAGCUGAAAGUUUUCGAAGGCCUCAAACACUGCUUCCACCUAAUGUUCACCGACUCCUGUAGGAGGCUUAGGAUCAUGAAGGGCUCAGAGGCAAUUGGGCUAG